rnacentral:lncRNA from 14 species
UGAAAUACCAGAAUUCAAAAACACCGCUUGGCUCCUGUUACUGACCUAAUGUUCCAAACAUCUAGGAUGAGCAGUCGAGCAAUUCGUAUUCCGUAGAAUAUUUGAAAAAAAACCCCCAAUUAGUUUCUCAAAACUUUCGCAAUUACUAGUAAGACGGCACUACUCCCUUGAAAACACUGAAAACUGAUCUGAGAGCGUCAGUUCUUGCCUUGGUCUAGUUUCGUUCACGAAUUCACGCUUAUCGAUCGGCUCCGACCAGUUUUCUUGGGUGACAUAUGUUUCAGAACGAGGGUUCUUGAAUAUAGGAUAUCAAGGUGUCCUUGUGAAUAUUACAUGUGAUGGCGUGAUGUCACUGCUCAAGCGGGAUAGAUUCAACUUGCGACACAGAUUUUUUGCUGCUCGGACUCGAGCAUCUUACACUAAGGUACUUCACCACGAUAGGACAUAAGAACCUGCCGACGCCUGAGUCUCAACUAGAUUUGUAUUCGCCGAACGAGAUGGUUAUGAAGCUCCAGUGAAGUUGAAGUAUUUGCAAUGAUGGAUGAUCACAUUCCCAGAAGGCGACUUGCACCGUCAUUGAUAUUUCCAGAAAUGAAAAACUGGCUGUGAGACUGCAUAAGAGCUCCAGAAUUUAUUUCAUGGCAUUUCGUUCUCGGAUCGCUUUACUUUCUAAGAUGCACCAGUUCAAAUGCUUCAAAUUAAAAAACAAACAGACUAGGCUAAUGAGAUUCGGGAUGUCUAAGCUAAUGAAUCGGCGGAGAAUCAGAUGGCAGGCAUCCAGCAAAGACUCAAACAGCUUUCGAAUCACUACAGUUGCCAAAGGAAGAAUUAUUAAUAAGAGUUGAUGCGCCUCCGUGUUGAAAUGAUUGACUUCUGAUGCUGUCCGCAACCUGAAAACCUGCUGAAGUCGAAUGACGGAUUGAUUGUCGUCGUUACCAACUUGGACUCCAUUAAAUUGCUCUUGACCACUUUAAACAGCUCCAAAAGAUCUCUAGAACGCUCUAAAUGCUCCGGAUUCACCUUAGAAGAUUCAGAACCACUACCAAACGUCAUGAAAGAGCGAGUUAUUGGAAGAGAUUUACAGCAAGUGGAGGACACUUUGGGAAAGCUGCCAGAGGAUUCGAUUUAGACGGAAAGUGGAAAAACGCGACGGGCUGAAAGCGAGAAGCAUCGCGUGGCAAGAAAAUCCAGUGGUGCAUGGAACUUUUCAGAAUAUUCUAGAUGCUUGGCGUUGAGCAAAAGAUCCAGAAGACCCAGAGAUUGUUGUUCCAGCUCCGAAAGAUCAAAAAUCCCUCCCUGAACUUUCAAUAAAUGCUAACCAGGAUGGUAUGAUGGACUGCGAUUCAAAAGGAUUUUUUCUUCAAUUAUUCGCAGCAAAAUAGUGGGAAUCUGAAAUUGAUUCUGAAUCUUCAAGAGCUUCAAAGCCUUUUUAUGACUCCAGAAGCUCCACAAAUGAUUGAAAAUGCUUGCUCCAGCCAUGAGCACCCAGUCAAAAGAUUGUAAUACACAGCCUAAGAAAUAAAUCGUCUGGAGAUUAUAAGGACAACGGUUGCUCCCGGUUAAAGUGAAUAGUGAGGCACCUCCAAGAUUUUUGCUGCUUAGAACAACAGAAAUGUUUCUGCCACAAUCUCAAGUGAUUCCGAUGUAGUUGCUUCCUUCUGUGGUCCAUUCGAGGAGAAAAAGCAACGCCGCGAAGGUUGUCAACACUUCAGGAAUUCUAAUUCACUCUACAAGUCAGGCUGUAUAUCAAGGAGGAGAUGAUCGAGUAGACGAGAAUCGCCGUACCUGAACCAAAGCGUAGCCUUCUAAGUGAGCCUUUAUCUUCAUUCUAGAAGACAGCUGGUAAUCUGAUUGGAAUGCUAUUUGUUUCAAAUGUGAAAAACCACUUCAUGGUUUAGGUUCCUGAAAACUUCCUGAAAUUUCGCAAUGUGAUUCAC